rnacentral:tRNA from 1 species
GGUGGCUCAGUGGUACAGCGCUUGCCUUACAUGCAUGAAGCCCUGGGUUUGAUUCCUCAGCACCA